ACCUGGCCGGGAGGUGGCGCUGCUGUGGGCCGCGCUGAGGCUUCGCGUCGCGGGUUCGGGGCUCCCGGGGGUCCCUGGAGGCUCGAGAUGACUUCGUUCAGCGGUUCCUCCACGCCUUCUGUGGUGAUGAUUUGCAGCCUGAUAGCAUAUCAAGGAAACACAGGACUUAUAUCUGUAAAGUGGACUGUGACUGUCAGGGAAGAGGCAUCUUCAUCGCCAAACCUGAGGACAUAAAACCUGGGCAGGGUAAGAUCUGCCAGCAAUACAUCUCAAGGGUAACCCUUCCAUUCCAUGUUUCAAGAUUGCUGUUCUGUCACUGAGCUACUGUUUUAAUAUCCAGUUUAGCCUUGCUUUGAUGUGGUCAGUCAGCCAUAAAUAGCAUUCACUGGUCAUUUUCUUCAGAUUCAUCACUAUCAAAAGAAUUCAUUGCUGUCAAAAGGAAAAAUAUCUACUUUACAUGUCGCUGCGUAAACUCUCGUUCAGAAAUGGCUUCUAAUAUUUUGAGGUGGAAUCACCUUGACAAGAAUUCAGGCCAUUCGGACUCAUUGGACAAGGAAAACUUUUUCCCUCAUGAGUGAAUGAGCCUUUAAACAAUACUCAUUUUUCAUGAGUCCACCUCGGCCCUAUUGUCCUGCUCCUUACAAUUGUCUCAUCAAAGUGUUUCGGUUGACAUUUGGAGUCAUGUUCCUGAUGAAGUCUAAUAUAAAAACCUCAGCAAAUAUCUAGUUUUGUGAAUUUCUGAUAAUUUUAGAACCUUAAUUUACUCUGGUUUGUUGUGGACCUUUGGAUACACUUUAUUUUGGGGGAUAAAUUUGACUUUGUAUUGACCUCGUUGUUAUUUCUUAGGGAGUGUUCCCAGGAAAGAAUGAAAGUCAAAGCAGUAAGAGAUGGAGGGGAGGGCACAUGCAGACUCUGGCUUAUUGAAAAAGAAAGUAGGCAGUCAUAGAAUCAUAGGACAAGAGAAUGGCAUAGGUCAGAAGGGACCUUAAAGAUCAUCUGGUUUCACCUCCUGUGCUGUGGGCUCUGUCUAAUCAGUGUUUGGGUCAUACAGCCCAGCAGUAGACAUUUACUGUAUCUUAAAUGGAAAAAUAUCUACUGUAGGAACGGGUUCAGUAGAGACAUUAACUGGGCAUAUAACCUUUGCUCUAUAGGUUAAUGAGUUACCUUUGUGGUUCAUGUGUUUCAAGCAAGUUUAGAAGCAAAUUGGCUUCACAUUCUCCAUCCCAGACUUUUAUAAUUGGUAGACCCAAGUUCGAUCUGCAAGUUUAUGUGCUGAUGACAUCUUGUGAUCCUCUGAGGAUAUUUGUCUAUAAUGAGGACCUUACACAUUUUGCUAUUUCAGCAUACUCUGAGCCUUUGCAUAACAGCUUCAUAAGUAAAGAACUCCAUUAGCAGACGUUCAUGACAACCCAACACAUAGAAACUGGACAGAGAAAACGUUGUGGUUUGCUUGUCCAAAGUUUCCUCAUCUGGGAAUCUCUGAGCACUCCAUAAAUGUUAGUAAUCCCUAUGUGCAGAACCUCAGUUCCAUGAAUAAAAGCCUGCAUGAAAUAUUUUAGCUCUUUUUGUAGUAGGUAGUUAUAUUUUUGGUAUCUAAGCUGAAAACAGGUUUUGGGUGUUAUUAUAUUACCAUAAAUACAUAUCUAAUUGACUUGCAGCAUAAUUUUGGUACAAUUAAAGGUAAAGAAACAGAAAUGCUGGAAGGAAGAUUUGCCUCCAUGCUAAGAUAUUUUUUCUUCUACUUCUUUAUGGAAAGAAGUCCUGGCUUAGCUGAUGGCUGGAAAAGGUUCUGCUGUGUAGUUCUGGAUCAUUCUAACAUGGAAUUAGCUCUGCUAAUAAGUAGUUGUAGAAUGGGACCUGACUGAGAAAGAGGGCUAUAUUCAAUUGAAACUGCUGAUUUCUCAGAAGUGAUGGAAUUGGAAUGCUGAUGAGAUUGCAGUGAAGUGAAAUUGAAGCUGUUGAGCCUCAUUUAUUGGGUUCUUUAGAGUAAUGGGAUCAGUAUAGAGCUGAUCAUAUUCAGUGCCAUUAAAUCUUCUGUGCUUAAUUAAGAUGCUCUGUACAUUAUGCAGUGUGACCAGGAUCAUGUAGAGAAGAAGAGAGGAGGCUAAUACCUUUCUAACCCGGCAUCUUGUUCAUUCAUUUACAGAUAAUGUAUGCAUGCAUCUGACAAAUUAUUCCAUUAACCAGAACAGUGUUAAUUCUGCAGAGAAGUCGCUGGUGGUAAGAAGUAAAAAGAAGUCAACAUUUCAGAACUACUCUCAGAGAGGGUUGUAUUUACCUCUUCUGCCAUAUGGAGAUGUCUUCUUGAUCUUGUAACGUGACUCUGUAUUAACUCAUCUCUCUUCUUCAGCCUGUUGCUUGCUGCCACCCAUCUCUUUUUUUUAACACCGAUUUCUAAUUGUUGGGGCUUCGGAUUUUCUGCAGCUCCCAGAUAAUGGAUGGUUCAUGGGUGGCCGGCAGAGGGGGAUAGACUACACUGAAUCGGUGGGAAAACAGCUCUGGGAGCAUGCAUGGAGCAUCUCCGGCCUGCAGGAGUCCCCACCUUUGUGGACAGUUUCUUUCAAGUUCCUUGCAUGCAUAAUUAUUUCAGAUUUAGCUAUUACCCUCUGUGGAAUGUACUUGGUAAGGAGAGUGUAGCCUGUGGCUCUCAGAGGACAGCAAGUUAAUGGCAGUUCCUCCUCUUCUACUCCUAGUCGGUACUAGAUUGGCGUCAACUCUACAUUCAGUCUCAGGCCAUGAUUUCAAACUGAGCAUGUCAAUGAUUAGUUUUCUCUUUGCCAAAUUAAAAAACCAGCUGGUGUCACUGCUUUUUGUUGGUGAUGGUGGCUUGACAAACACCAAGGAUGCACUGGAUGAGGAUAGGAUAAGGAUAAGAUAGGAGAAGAAGGCAUCUUUUCCAGCAGAAGUGGCUGUUAAGCAAUCCUUGGUGAAACCAGCAGCAAAACUGAGGAAUAUCCAACCCUGACUAUGGCAGUAAAUUGAAAUCAGGAUGGAUUGUGUUGAUAGACAGGUUGUUCAGUAGCACCAAGAGCAGGUGUAAUGGAAUCUGUGGGAGAAGUGUCGUGAGCCUGAAGGGAUGGGUUUGCUGCCUUUCCUCAGAUGCUCUCAGUCCACUUUGAAAGCAUGCAUCCAUUCUGCAGUCCUACAGCUGUAAAUGCAGUAGUCAUUCUCAGACUGUGAUGCCUUUAGGAGCAAUGGUACACACUCUCCAUGCAGCUUUACAGCAUGGAGCAGCAAUUUAAUUCAGCAACAUCCUUGUGUAGUGAUAGCUGAGCUACAUUGACUUUAUUUCAUUGAGGACUGAUGGUGCACGUGCUUGGUCAUGGCCGUACUUCUAGAAUGGAAGCUGGGUUGUUUAAAGCUUUGUUCUGUAGUAUAGGCACACUAUUAAAUUGCUGAUCACAGCAUUUCCUUCCCAGCAAACCUGCACUCUGCUGAGCUGUUGGACUGACAAAAUCAGACAUCUCCAGCACCACAUCUAUUAGUCUUCAUUGAUGCUGUGAUUGAUAUGAAUACAAAUACAUUAAUGCGAUAUACCAGGGUUUCACUUUUCAGGCUCACAGAAAUGAAAUGAUGGAAGAGGCCAAAAUGAGGAAUCUCAACUGUGAUCCUGGAAGUCUGGGGGCUUGGCAAGGCUCGUUGUUUAUAUUGCUCCAUUGAGAGUCAUUCAUUUUGCACUUAACUCUGUUAAGAGAGCACUCAGCUCCUCACACAUGCCCUUCCUUGGCCUAGUUUUCAUCUGAUUAGAGGCAAAAAGACCUCUUGUGUCUGACAGAUUGCUUCAUUUCAUAGGGUGAUUUCUUCUUCUAGAGUGAUUUCGGUACACUGACAUUCAUUUACUGUGUAUUAACAAAAAUGUUGAUUAUUCUUAUUAAUACUCACUACGGCUCCUCCGGUUAUCCUGAAAACUGCCAUAAGGUGAGUGGGUGAGUGAUGGAGCAGGGCUCAAAGAUAAGAGGUGUAACACAUGGUUCUGUUGGAGUUAUGCCUAGAUCUGUCAUUGAAAAGUUUCAGAUGUUUGUAGCCUGUCAAGAACAAGGAAGUCUGUUUUACUCAUUAAUAAUUUUAUGUUAUGCAUCCUUUGCAGACAGAUAAGGAGGUGCUGUCCUUGUCCAAAGAACUUACAACACCUGCCGUGAUAAAAGGAUGGGUUUAAGGCUCUGGCUUCAAGUUUCUUCUACCAGCAAAUGAACAAAUACAACCUCGUUCAGCAUCUCACUCAGUGUCCCAUUCAGCUUGAUCUUCAUCCAUUGUCCAGAGCUUACUGCUUUGUAUUAGCUCUGCAGAACAGUAGCACGAAGCAAUAAUCAGUGCUUCAUCCUCACUUUUUUUACUUAAUUUUUAACACUGGUUAACUCUGUAACAUAGACUGAGUGGAUGAUCUCCAUUUCAUCAGGAACGAAUUUAGUCUACACCAUCAAUCCCAUUUUGAAGCAGCCACUGAUAUGAGCUGUUUCUCCUUGGGAGACAGAUGAGUCUGUGUUUCAAGGAAGGCCAUUCCAAUGCAAGGUAUCCGUAAAAUAUUAAUCUUUUAAUAUAUUUUAAUAGAAGCUUGGUUACGAACGAGGCUACUCACAUCAGUGAUGUUCUGUUUCCUAUAUGGAAAUACGGUACAAAUGACUGGAAAAACAUUUGGGUGUAAAGGAAAACGGAGAAGGAUCAGUUCAGUAUUAUAACUAAAUGCAUGCUGAAUAACGGCCAUGUAGAGCAAGCUUGAGGGACAGUUAUCAAGGUAAUUAGUAUCUCUUCCUUUUGUCCUUUAGUUCUGGAACUGAAUGUCCAGGCAGAACUAAAGCAAGGCAUGUUAGAAACACCAUAUGUACAAAGCACCACUGAUGGAUUGGGAAAAGAUUGUUAUGUCAGUAUGGUGGGUAGGGAAACUGAGGCAUGGAACGUGGUGUUAAUUGGCAGAAGACCACCUCUGUGUCUGGAUUUCUCACUAACAUCCUCUGUGACCCACAGAGUGAGGAACAGAACCAAAUUGUUUGUUCUCUCCACUGUGGUGUAGACAAUUUUGAUAGCUUCAACCUGGUCUUGGUUCCUGCUCUGACAAUCAAUGGCACAGGGCCGGAUCAGACAGCAAAGAUGCCCCUCAGUAGUGUCAGCCCUUACUGACUCUUAGGCAGUGGGAGAUCCCAUAACAUUCAUCUCUACAGCCUUGUUCUGACCAAUUAGAGUAUCGGUGUAGGGAUUAAAAUGGCCAGCAUUGUAAUCAUAGUCAGGAAACAGCAAAUCAAAGCAGGAGAACUGGAAUUUCGAGGGUCCAUCAGGGUGCUGACCAGUGAGUUUGACCAGGAUAGCGGAUCCUUGAGAUCUGAGAACUGCACCUCUUUAUUUAAGAGGAGGAAAACCAGCCGAGGUCGUACUACAAAAAAAAAAAAAAUAAGCCACUGUCCACUUGCUCUGGCUGCAAAGCACAUUUUCAAUAAGUUUCUGCUCUAACAAGCUGCAUCAGUUUCAUCUCAGUAGAUCUGAUGGUUACUGAGCAGUGCUCAAUGUUCUGGAGGGUGCCAGGCACAUAAUUGUUUUUACAACAUUGUAAAAUGAAUCAGACUGAAAUUAGUGUCACUCAGCAGAACCACUUUCCUUCCUUUUAAAUUACUUAAUCCGAGGGUUAAUCAAAAAGAAAAUGAAGUUUCGACACUGCCCUUCAGCUAAGGGCAAGCACAGGUUCAGCUGCCUGCACUGCAUCUGCCUGUGAAGUGCUUUGCAUAUCAGCUCCUGCACUGAUACGCGUGCUGCUUCCCCACUGCUAUUUGAAGGGGGGAGGAUAGGGCUGUCUUGGGAGUGCUUCCCACACGGAAGUCAAAUGGGGAGAGGAAGGAAGCAAAAGCCAUUUUGUCAUCUAAUUCCUGAGAAAUGAGAGCUAGAGAAAUUAUAGGGAAAGGGGUUUUUCUGCAGGAAGGUCCUUCCGUGAGCACACAGCCUGUUCCAGCCAUUAGCUAUAAAGUACACAGGGGUUCUCAGCCCUCUUUGGUGCCUCUUGUCCUCAGGAGCUGAGAUGUGAGUGGUUAAUAUGGUCGGGAUAUGCCAUCAUGUAAGAACCUCAAAUAGCAUCUCCUCCAUUCCUCCGGUCUUUAUUGGCUCCUUGCUGAGACAAUCCCAGCUUCUGUUGUUCUGCCCACUUUGAACUGUGUAUUUUGGAAACAAUUCUAAUAAAUUUCCCUUCCUUGAAGGUUUUCAUGUCUCACUGCAUGGGACUAUUGCUUUGUUAUGAUCAUUCACUGUAGCGGGCUUAUUAUUUUUCACUCCAUCAUAUUUUGUAUGCACGCAGCUUUCAGUUUAUCAGUGUGAUCUCAGAACGUCGUCUAGCUGAUGAGUUAUAUCAAUAACAGCUGGGCAAAGCAAGAUGAUCAUGAGCUAUAAUUAUUAUGGACAGCAAUACUGUCAGCUGAAGGCUCUGAGAAACGAUCUAGGCUGGAGGAUAUCUUGAGUUUCAAUAGCACAUAAUCCCUUUGCAAUAAUGUAAUCACGCAAAAUGAGGUUGAAGUGAUUAUCGGCAUGUGAAAAUUGCAUCAGUUUCCACACAUAUUGCUUUUCAGAUAAUAUUUGUCCUCUGGUAGCCUUGAUUCAGGAGCUAUCUGCAUAACGAGCCCCAACAUCCAUUUCUCCUGCUUCCCUGAAGGCUGUGGUACGUUGAGCCCAUUUGGGCUCCUUCACAUUUAGUUUGGAGAUCUGCUUCAACGAGCAGCAGUGGGAACAAAAGCAGAAUGCGAGGCUGAGAGCAGCCCAGGAGCCAAAACAUUUGCUCAGCGUUUUUCAGGGCCGUGUCACUCCAGCUGGCAGCCCGGAGGAAGACGUUCCCCUCCUCCUGUGUGCGUGGAGGAGCUGCACUUCUCCCAGGGCGCAUCCCCUGCGUUGAGAACGAGAUUCAGAUUUAAUUAGUUCCAGUGCAUAUGGCACGGAUUCUUUCAUUACGGCGCAUAACUGAAGAUUUAUGUCCUAACGGAGACAGGGAGGGACGUGGCCCAUGGAGGGCUCCGACUCCUUUCUGCUGACACUAUUCUAGAUGUCCUUCCCUACAGCACAGCCCAGAGAGGCACUACAGCAGCCUUGGCCCAAAAUCCCCAGGGUUUUACACCCAAGAGUAUAAGGGAUAGGGAGACCCGUUCAGGAUAAAAAUCCUCUAUCUGGAUACCAAAUGUUAUUGCACGAGGAAAAGGUGUCACCUACAAACAGCAAAACAAAACCUCAGAAGAUGAGAUUAUUACAGUCAGGAGGAUAAAGUGUUUGCUUCUUAAUUUCUUAAGCAACAAUCCGUAGUGCUUCUGACACAUCUAACAAUGAAUGGAAACUAUGAAGCCACCGCUGGCACAGUAAUUGCUGGGACCUGGAUGCAGCAAUAUGUUAUUACAUCAAGUCACACGGGUGGUGACAUUGCUGACAACCACCGAGGACCAAGAAGCAUUUAUUGGCUCUGGCAUCCAUGCAAGGAGCCUGCACUGCCUGGUGCCUCACCGUACGUGACUUGUCAGCAGCAGAAGUUGUACAUAAUGACGGUGGGGAAAGCACAAUUAAUUGGCAGCCAUCUGCCAGACGAGUGCUCUGCCUGGUGUGGUGUACCCACUACACAAGGAGGGAGAAGCCGGGUCUGCCUGUCCAGAUGGUGAACACAAAAUGAUUUGGGCACAGGUACUGGAAAAUCCGUGAUAUCCUGGAAAUGGGAAGAAAAUGAGUGGCUAAAUCAAGUCCCUGGUGUGAAUCACUCUGGAUUUGGGACACUGUUUUUCCCGUGCUGUGCUUCGGAAAUAAAAGCUACCCCUGGCUGCAUUGCUAAGCAUCAACGAACACUGAUGGGGAUUAACUAAAACGAGAAAGAAGAGCACAGCUGGAGAGCACCAAAAUGCCCCAGGAGAGGUUCCCCAAAGAGAGGUGAGGUGGAACUGGAGGAGGUGGAGAGCUGAGGUGGGUAUAGCUGUGUGCUUGGAGCUCAGCAGAGCAGAACUGCAGCUCCUUGGGGGGUUUUGGGUCUGAGUAUUUCAACGUCCGGGCUUUUAAGAAUACAAAAAGUUAUCAGCUGUGAAAAUGAGGAAUGUUUUGAGUGGGAAUCAUGGUAAGUAGACAGCUCCAAACAUUGCACUGACACCGAGCAGGGAGGCACUGAGAGAUGCUUCUGGUUGAGCUGGAUUUGGGGAGCAAGGAAAGAUCAUUUUAAUUUUAAUCAUGCAGCUGUUGUCUUUUAUUAUUAUUAUUAUUAUUAUUGAUUAUGCUGUAAUCUGCUUUUUUGCUUUUUACAUCCUGACUGCUUGAAUUAGGGAAAGAAAAUGGAUUCUCUUUGCUGGACGACGAGAAGAUGGAGAGAUUGCCUCGAAAUUAAGAGGUGAAAGGAUAUACAUCAGGUUGGGAAAUGUUGCUGGGAAAUGCAUUGUUUCAUUUCUUGUAAGGUUUCUUGAUGGUGUGAAUGAUUCAAUGGGGAAAGUUUGGGGUCUCUCCCCUCCCUUCAUCUCCAGGAUCUCAAGGAUCUGAACCCUAUAGGCUUCUCCAGGAUAACAUUAUGGGGUAUGGGGGAGGAAAUGAAAGCAAAAUAAGGCACAGGUGAGACACUGAAGUGCUCUCGUCUGAGUCGCUUGCAAACAAACCUCUCCUUGAAGUAAUGGCACUUUGUGGGAACCCCUGAACCCCAGAGGUGCCUGGAGAUGGGGGGCAGCUUUACCUGUUCUGCACUUCCUGGUGAGGUCCGGGCUCCAAAUCCACCCUAAAGACACCGAAAUCCUUCUCCUCAGGUCCUUCAGCGAUCUCAGAGAAAAACCGCAGUUUCUGGAGGGGAAAAAAAAAAGAGAGGUUAUUGAGUGCUGGCAGCAAAUCUAUUUACCGGAUCUCCUUGAGCAGCAAUAGCAAAAUAGGCGAUCUCGCACUGCAGCGGGACCCCUCCCCAUCAUAAAGGGGCGUCUUCACUUUGGGUUCACUUUCCAUAAUCCGGAUAAUGGAGGUAAACCGAAGCAGCUGCCUUUGCGGAGGGGAAAUCCGUCCCCUGAUCAGUCCUCGGGAGAGGGCGGGUUGUAAUAGCGGCGGGGCGAUGCGCACUGCGGGCACCUCCCGGAGCCAUGGGGGGGUCGGACGGCGCAGAGGGGGCUCCAGGAGCUCAGAGGGGGAACCCCAGAGCCGGAGGUGCCAUAAAGAGGGAAGAAAAACGAUCCGUUUUCCUCGGACAACUUGAAAACAGGUAACGUCGAAAGGUUACAGAGAAGGAGGGUGGAGGAAAGCUUCCCUCCUGUUCAGGGGCAGCGGUGUAAUUCGGGCAGCACAGAGAGCAAGCGGGGGAAAAAAAUGAAGA